CUCCGCUGUCUGUUUGCCUCUUGUUAAGUGUAGAAAAGGCUACAAAGUUAUGUGAUUGUUUGCUUAAGAUGUUCACAGUUGCUCGUUCAAUGCCUUCAGCAUCAUUUGAUUCCCACAUUUGGCUGACGUAAAUAGGUGAAAAGUUGGAUUGCGCAUGCACCGUACCAGAAUGCGGAUGUCAAUAGUAAGAAAGUCACGGGUGGAUGCACGACAUGAGCGUGCGUCUAAUUGUGUGUUUGUUCAUUGCUGUGCGUAAAUGCAAAGUUCCGAGUGUGGAAUUUGCCCGAAAGAAAGACGAUGACAGACAAAGGAAAGACGAGAAAAAGCAAAUGCUUAUCGAUACCCGUCCCCCAACAGCUCGGCACGCACAGUCAAGCAUGUCGGCAUUGUCAAUGAAGAAAUGGCUGAGCGAAUUUCUUCUGCUGCGGCUACUUCUUCUACUUCCUCUUCUCCACGGGAUGAUACAUACUGUAUAACCUAGAGUCUGUGUCACAUGACCAGUGAAGUGAGCAUAACCUAACUUGAUUGCCUGGACGGCCAAUAAAAUGAGACGGGGAUCGAAUGCUUCUCCUUGGCUACCCGGAUGUUGUGAAUUAAUUUUUGCGGCUAAAAUUUUUUUGCUGCAGAAUUUUUAUGAUUGAAGUUUUUGCUGCAAAAUAUUGAUACUUGAAAAAAAAU